GAUGAAGAACGUAGCGAAAUGCGAUAAGUAAUGUGAAUUGCAGAAUUCAGUGAAUCAUCGAAUCUCUGAACGCACAUUGCGCCCAUUAGUAUUCUAGUGGGCAUGCCUGUUCGAGCGUCAUUAAGUCCACUUAAGCCCUGCUUAGUGUUGGGAGACUGCUCCAGCGGUGCUACCCUGUAGCUACCCUGCAGCUCCUCAAAGACAGCGGCGGAGUUGUGGUAUCCUCUGAGCUUAGUAACUUGUUCUAGCUUUCGAGUACACCACUUCCCCUGCCGUAAAACCCUUAAUUUUUAAUGGUUGACCUCGGAUCAGGUAGGAAUACCCGCUGAACUUAAGCAUAUCAAUAAGCGGAGGA
rnacentral:misc_RNA from 1 species